AACGUAUUCUUCUGCUUCUUCUGCAGAGAACAUCAUUUGGCAUUCUGACGUCCAUCUUGUUCUGCAGGCCUUCGUUGGCAUCUUAAAUAAACCCUAUUUCACGCAACUCCCGGGGGGAGUUCUGCCGGACAGCGUUACGGCCAACGUUACUGAUGUUUGUGCUUGUUAACUUCAAUGAUAACAGUCUUUAAAAGAAAGGAUUUUUAAUUUUGACUGUUUUUGUUCGCUCUACUGGCCGGGAAUCGAUGUUUCUGGUUUCAUGCUGACCGAGGCUCAACCCACACCCAAGAGGAAAACAUAAUUGGCGGUUGAUGUAAGGGCCGCACACGAAUCCAAAUGGUCCAGAGGUGAAAGGUGCAAAACCCGGAAAUGCGACACAAUCUUCCAGAUCGAGAAAAACCCAGGUGGACGGCCGAGCGUUCCCUCUCCACCUGAAACUCCCUCACUGGAAAAGUGCAGCGUCAACACAUUGAGAUGCCAAGACUUUUCAUUCUUCAUCUAAAAUGAAAUUGCACGGAGUGAUUAAGCUAAUACCACUUAAGUUGUUUUAAAAAUUUACAUCUAUUCACGGUUGACUUCAGGUGGUAGAAAGAAGGGCCUCCACACAUGCAUGUGUAUUCCUUUAUAUAUAUAUAUUUUUCAAAUGUACAACAUCAGCCCUCUCUCUAUAACAUAGAAUGUAUAUAACCCAUGCCUCCGUGCAACAGGGGAAAGUGGGUGUCUCUGUGGUCUCCGUCUCUGCCCUCUGUGUCUCCUGUGGGCCAAUUCCCAGUGACAUUCUGCCAAACCCCAAGGUAGCAAGCCAUGAAAAUGAGUGUGUUGCCCUGUGGGUUUAAAAAAAGACAUGUUUUGAUCCAUCCUCUUCGACUAUUCCUUCCCAUGCUUGUUCUCCUAUCUACAGAAUUAGUUCUGUGGGGUAGAGUGGAAAUUAAAGUUCAAUCACUUAGGUUUUCUGCUACCUUACCAUUAUUGCUACCAAAAGGGCUGCAAAUUAAGAUUCUCCUUGUCUCUCUGCAACCACUUGGAGACUGAAAAUUGUGUCACAGGGGACAUGAUGCAGUAAUUUGUGGCGUACAUAAAUA
ensembl:lncRNA